rnacentral:lncRNA from 1 species
GCUAUGUCCAAUUUUAAUGUCAUAAUGUUGGACUGUGUACUGUUUUAAUCUGUCCUAUGAUAACAAUGAAUUAAAGGAGAUGCUGAAGAAGGGGCAUCUAAAGGGAAUCUGUCUCCCCAAGACAGCAAUAGUGAUUCUAGGAGACAGCUUUUGUUGAAUUAUCCAUAUCCUUAACCAUAUAUGUGCAACCCACCAGCUCCAUAGCACAGUCACAGGCAGAGAAACAUUAUGAAAAGGAAUCAGAUUGAGGGGAUGCAGAGGCCCAAAUCAACUACUGCAGUAUGGCUGGCAAUCUCAGAGAGAUGACGACCUGCCAAAUUCCCGACACACAGGCGGAUGUCAGGGGCCACUGAACAGACCACACACUUCUGCUCUGCUCCUGGGGAUGCCUUUGAGAAAGAUUUGCUGGGAAGUGAAUGGCUUGAAUGGAGGAGAAAGGUGAACAUCGCACCCUUAAUUUUGCCAUUGAAUUCACCAGGAAAACAAGAAUGACAAGAGCAAAAGCCAGGACAAAGAAGGCCUGGCCUGCUAUUUGUGACUUAAAACAGUAGCAUGAAACUUUCAUCUUCUCGUAAUCUGUAAAUGAAACCAACGGUGAUAGCUUAUGUCUCUUAAACAAAUCUGCAAAGGUACUUACAACAAGAAAUUAGUCAUGUCUUGAGAAUGGG